UGUUAGCCUGCUUUAAUUAGAGAAAGGACAAUUAGCAUCAGUGUUAUUCCACAUUUCUUGGGUUAUAUUUAUAUUCAAAAAUAUAAAGAGAUUAGUUAGCAUAUGUUUGGUCCAGAGGAUGAUCCACAGUGAUGUUGUGUUCUGCAGCCGAGCACUGAAUGACUUUUCCCACCAGAAGAUCGUCCAGCAUGUAGCAGCAGAUUAUUAUAUAGGCAACUGUGUACUGUCUGUAAUUGGUAAAUCACAUUUUCUGCUGUAUUUAGAAAAAGGAACCAUCACUUUAUUUGAAUAAAUGAAUAAACAAAAUGCAGGUAUAUGGAGGAAACUCAGAUGUCCCAGUUUUACACUGGGACAUGAACACAGCAUAAGUUUGCGGAUCUCGGCGAAGCUGGCAGUGUGAAAUUUGUCUCAAAAUUAUACAUAUUAUACACAUUUGUAAAUCAUACCGUACGUGCACUUGCAACCGUUUUGAGGUUUCUCUCCAUAUAUAAAUAGCGACUGUAAAUGUCAGUUUAAAUCGUCUUACCUGUAAAACUUGCCGUCUUUACCGGAAGUCAAUGUACACACCUUAACGGGUGGGAGUGUUUAUUUUUUCCAGUGUAACUGAAAAGUUAAGUUUCAUUUUCCUGUUCUGGAAAAUCAUGUGUUAUUUAGUCGGCGACAGAGAUUACAAUUACAAAAUGGAGAGCAGUCUGUUCCCAGAACUUUUUUGGAAAAAAGACAAGGACAACGAAAAGGAAGAAGGAAGAACUAGCCAUAAGAAAAGAAAGAGAGUCACGGAUGAUAAAGAUGAAAAGAACCUCUGGCGUGUAAAAUGUGGAACCAAAAAGGGUUGGAUGGAUGUAGAGAAGUUGAGAAAAGGUAAGGAUUGUAUUGAGUUUGAAGGCUCCUUUUACAGUCCACCUGAGUUUGAGAAGCUUGCAGGAAAAGACUCAUGUAGAAAAUGGAAGUCAUCUAUUUACCACAAGAAAGCUCCUCUGCACUUUUGGUUCAAGAAAGGUUACCUAACCACUACAGGAUAUAGACAAAAGAAAAGAAAAAGACAAUCAUCAGACCUUGAGUCCCAGGAACUCUUCACAGAACGCAAGGAAGAUCAUGAUGAAGAUGAGGAUGGAGAAGAGGAUGAUGAGGAUAUGGAUGAAGAUUAUGUAUGGGACAAUGAGCAGGGCACUAAGAAAAAUGAAGAUAAAAAAGCUACACAGAUUUAUAUCUCUUCUGAAGAAGAAGAAAGCGAGGAAGAUCCUGUUGAAGAUGAAGAUGAGGAUGGAGAACAAGAAGAUGAGCAUAUGGAUGAAGAUGAUGUAGGUAACGAUGAGCGUAGCACUGAGGAUGAUGAGGAUGAAGAAAGUGAUAAUGGUGAGGAUGAGACUGUGCCUGCUGUUGCCUCUAACCAUACUGACAGCAGUGGUAUCAAAGAGAGAGUAACACCUACAAUUCCAACACCUGGAAAACAUGCAUUAGAGAUGAAAGAAGUAAAGGGUAUCGUUAACAUCCUUCCUGAGAAGACUAGACAUCAUUCUGACAUGCCAAGAUCUGAAGUCAGUGGAAAUAACAAAGAUGUGGCAAAAAACACAGCAAUCAAACAGCAAAAUGUUAAGAAACAACCUGAAGAGAAACUGAAAAAGACAACAACAAGCACAAUUUCAAUACCUGGGAAACCUGCACUAAAGAUGAAAGAAGCUAAUGGUAUCGUUAAAAGCCUUCCUGAGAAGGCUAGACAUCAUCCUGACACGACAAGACCUGAAGUCAUUGGAAAUAUCAGAGAUGUGGCAACAAACACAGCAAUCAAACAGCUGAAUGUUAAGAAAGAACCCAAAGAGGAACUGAAACACAAGGAAGAUCGUGUUAAAGAUCAAGAUGAAGAUGAAGAACAAGAAGAUGAGCAUAUGGAUGAAGAUGAUGUUGGUGAUGAUGAGCUUAGCACUGAGGAAGAUGAGGAUGAAGAAAGUGAUCAUGAGAGAGUAACAAGUACAAUUCCAACACCUGGAAAACAUGCAUUAGAGAUGAAGGAAGUAAAGGGUAUCGUUAACAUCCUUCCUGAGAAGACCAGACAUCAUCCUGACAUGCCAAGAUCUGAAGUCAGUGGAAAUAACAGAGAUGUUGCAACAAACACAGCAAUCAAACAGCAAAAUGUUAAACAACCUGAAGAGAAACUGAAGAAGACAACAACCGACACAAUUUCAACACCCUUGAAACCUGCACUAAAGAUCAAAGAAGUAAAGGGUGUCGUUAAUAGCCUUCCUGAGAAGGCUAGACAUCAUCCUGACAUGACAAGAUCUGAAGUCAGUGGAAAUAACAGAGAUGUUGCAACAAACACAGCAAUCAAACAGCAAAAUGUUAAGAAACAACCUGAAGAGAAACUGAAUAAGACAAUAAGUAGCACAAUUUCAAUACCUGGGAAACCUGCACAAAAUAUCAAAGAAGUAAAGGGUGUCUUUAAUAGCCUUCCUGAGAAGGCUAGACAUCAUCCUGACACGACAAGAUCUGAAGUCACUGAAAAUCCCAGAGAUGUGGCAAAAAACACAGCAAUCAAACAGCUGAAUGUUAAGAAACAACCUGAAGAGGAACUGAAGAAGACAACAACCGACACAAUUUCAACACCUGUGAAACCUGCACUAAAGAUCAAAGAAGUAAAGGGUGUCAUUAAUAGCCUUCCUGAGAAGGCUAGACAUCAUCCUGACACGACAAGAUCUGAAGUCAAUAGAAAUUCCAGAGAUGUGGCAAAAAACACAGCAAUCAAACAGCUGAAAGUUAAGAAAGAACCUGAAGAGGAACUGAGUCCUUUCUGUGAACCUCUGGCUGUGUCAGAUGACCAUCAACAUAAAGAGGUCCCCUGCUCUGGCCACAGUGUAGCUGAAGUACAAUCCAUGAGGCCAGAGAUGAGUGUGAACAUGUCAGAGGCCCGGUUGCCUGGGCCCUCAGCCAGCUCUGGUUUGAAUACAAUGGAUCUUGAUCAACUGAAGAGGGAAAAAAUAAAAAUGGAAGUAAAGGUUUUAAAAUUAAAAGAAGAGUAUUACACUUUGAAAAUAAAAGAACUUAAAAAAUGAGGAUUAAUGCUUCUGUAAAGCUGACAUUGCAGACAAUAAAUUAAAAGAUCGCUGUUUACAUUCACAAGCUGACACACGUUAUCUGGAGGUUUCUUGAGUAGAAUGUUACUUUUGAGAAAAGCUGCAAAAUCAAGUGUGCUGCAUUUAUACACUGUACUUUUUCUUUGCUAUGCUCAGGUUUCCUUUAGUAUUGUUGAUUACCAUGUUUUACUUUGUUUGUUUUACAUGUUUUUAUAAUGAAACAGAUAGAUGGUAUUUUCUUCUGUAAAAUGUGAAUAAACGAUAUUGAUGCUUUUUAUCUGUAAAUUGUGCAAAUGUUAUGAAACUGUGUUUCCUUUAGACUUUGCCCAAGCUGUAGUAAUAGUUGUAAGAAGUAGCCUUUAAACAGCAUCGUGCAAUGUCUUGAGCCACAGCUCAUUUCUUUAUGUUUUGCUUCCAAGGAGCAAGAGCUUUUAUAAAAUUUGUAAGACAAAAACAAUAGAUUAGACAAUUAGACAAAAAGUUUUUCAUGGAAAUUUGUCCAACCAUAAUGAGAAAACACAAAAUGAAAAAAAGGAGAGUUACAGUGCUGUGCAAAAGUCUUGAGCCAGGACACGUCAUGCAGAGAUAUGUUAAGUGCCCAGCUAAUAGAUCUUUGGGUAUCAUUUGGUUACACAAUUAAAAAAACCAAACUUCUGUGUUAUCUUUGGCAUUUUUCUUUUCUUUUCUUUUUUUUAUUCAAAACCUAAAUAUAGUUAUGUUAGGUAUAUAUAGACUAGAUUAAACUGAUUUACUUUGAAAUAACUCAAGAAGACAAAGUUAUCAGGCUAUAUUUAAUU
ensembl:lncRNA